UUGGAUGGAACUGUCUGAUUCAGAGCU
rnacentral:piRNA from 1 species